UAUUUUCAAAAUACUUACUCAAGGCAAGAGUUCACCAGAAGGAGGGUGGGAAGCUUGGAUGAAGAUGUGCAGUGAAAUGCAUCUUGCAACAGUGGGGAAAGUUACAGGCAGCACGGGAGUGAGGAGCUCAAGCAUCACAACAAGGCAUGGCCUGAUGCACGGAGGCAGCAGAUAGUGAGGGCUCUGGGAGAUAAAGGACGCCACCAGGCUUAGCUGGGAAGUGACCCAGGCAGCCUCUCAGAGGCAGGUGUAGGUACCUUGCUGUAUUUCUUCUGGAAUAAAGGGCUCUGGAUUUAGCCCCAACAUCUAGGUUCUCGUCUGAAGGAACCUGGGUGUGAUAAAGGAAGUCUGAGAGAUGCACUGUUAUUGGUAUGGCACCAGAAACAAGACCCAUUUCAUAGAUAGAAAUGACGGUUUUUACAGCUGAACCAAUCCAAAGCACUUCGCUGGGAUUGCAACACUUGUUUGGGACAGGAUGGUUGGGAAAGUUAACCCAGGGAACCAAAUUUGUAGGGAAACGAGGGUAGAUUGCAAGUCCACUGUUUUGAGUUUUGCAUCCACAUAGAAGAGAAGUCUGUAGAUUCAUUCAAUACCCAGUCUCAUUUUACUGUUAUCUAAGGUGGUUUUUCUUUUUAAAAA
rnacentral:lncRNA from 1 species